UACGUAGGGUGCAAGCGUUGUCCGGAAUUAUUGGGCGUAAAGAGCUCGUAGGCGGUUUGUUGCGUCGGCUGUGAAAACCUGAGGCUCAACCUCAGGCCUGCAGUCGAUACGAGCAGACUAGAGUGUUGCAGGGGAGACUGGAAUUCUCGGUGUAGCGGUGAAAUGCGUAGAUAUCGAGAGGAACACCUGCGGCGAAGGCGGGUUGCUGGGCCGACACUGACGCUGAUGCGCGAAAGCCAGGGGAGCGAACGGG
rnacentral:rRNA from 1 species